ACAAACUCUAUAAAGUAUUAGAAUGUGUAUUGCGAUGUAACGC
rnacentral:rRNA from 1 species